rnacentral:lncRNA from 1 species
CUUUAAUUUAUCCAGAAGUCCAGGACACCAGAAAGGUAUACUACAAAACAGGAUAAAGGAGUUAGCCAGAUAAAAAAAUAAAAUAUAUAUUUAUAAGCCUGAAAUGGGCAUCGUCUAAUUGAUUCAACAACCAAAAACACAUAUCUAAGUUUAGGUUUCUAAAUGAACCAGAAAAUGUACAUAUUAUCAGACUAAUGUGAAGAAGCUUAUUCCUGCUACAUUACCUUCAUUAUCAGACUAAUGUGAAGAAGCUUGUUACUGCUACAUUACCUUCAUUAUCAGACUAACGUGAGGAAAGCUUGUUACUGCUACAUUACCUUCAUCACAGUUUCCACAGCCACCACCAGGACACAGCAGCAGUCAGACGUCCUCAGCCUAAAUUACCUAGAGUAGAGAAGCAAUGGACGCUGUUCUGUUAGUUGUUGUUGUUUUAUGGGUUUACAUGUAAUGUCUAGAUAACAGUACAUUUUAGAGUCCAUGGUUAUUACACAUGAUGCACAAUACUUCCGCA